GUGCGCGCUCUUCGUUAUUUAUCUUCCCUAUUGAACAUACUAUUCUCCAUCUUAAAUUUGAUCGUUUAUUUACAUAUUAGAGUACCUGAGGAUUAAUUAGAAACAUCGUUUGACUUGUUUGGACGAACUUUACCAGUAACUUUUUGGAUUCAUUUGCAUUUGGAUUAGUGAAGUCAAUGGCGUCAACUAAACAGACUUUUUUGGAUAUAAAGAAUGACUUUAUCAAACAAAACAACCAUUCAUUGUGUAGCUGGGACCCUUGGGAUUGCAAACAGAGGAAGAUCUUCAAAGAUUUAUCCUCAUUAAUCUGGUUGGAAGCACCUGGCCCUGCUCAUAAACAAUGUGGAGUUUGAUGAUGACAACAUGCUGAGGAGAGUGGUGGAGAAGGACUAGGUGAACAUGGACACACAGGAACCUGUCUGGCCAGGUCAUGCAUCGCUUUGAACAAGAUCCCAAACCAGAUGUCAACCACUCUAACAAAGGACUUCCCGGGCCUCUGAGAAUCAAAAACAGAUAUCAACCACUCUAACAAAGGACUUCCCAGGCCUCUGAGAAUCCCAAACCAGAUGUCAACCACUCUAACAAAGGACUUCCCGGGCCUCUGAGAAUCCCAAACCAGAUGUCAACCACUCUAACAAAGGACUUCCCGGGCCUCUGAGAAUCCCAAACCAGAUGUCAACCACUCUAACAAAGGACUUCCCAGGCCUCUGAGAAUCCCAAACCAGAUGCCAACAACUCUAACAAAGGACUUCCCAGGCCUCUGAGAAUCCCAAACCAGAUGUCAAC
rnacentral:lncRNA from 1 species